rnacentral:rRNA from 1 species
GAGUUUGAUCCUGGCUCAGAACGAACGCUGGCGGCGUGCCUAACACAUGCAAGUCGGACGAGAAACUCCCGCUUCGGCGGGGGGAGUACAGUGGCGAACGGGUGAGUAACGCGUGGGUAACCUGCCCUUAGGUCCGGGAUAACUUCGCGAAAGCGUUGCUAAUACCGGAUACCGUCCAAAAGACUGCGGUUUUUUGGAUGGAAGGUGACCUCUCCAUGGAAGUUACCGCCAAAGGAGGGGCCCGCGUACCAUUAGCUUGUUGGUGGGGUAACGGCCCACCAAGGCAACGAUGGUUAGCUGGUCUGAGAGGAUGGCCAGCCACACUGGAACUGAAACACGGUCCAGACUCCUACGGGAGGCAGCAGUGAGGAAUUUUGCGCAAUGGGGGAAACCCUGACGCAGCAACGCCGCGUGAGUGAAGAAGGCUUUCGGGUCGUAAAGCUCUGUCAAGUGGGAAAAAACGCUCCCGGUGAAUAGCCGGGAGAACUGAUGGUACCACUGGAGGAAGCACCGGCUAACUCCGUGCCAGCAGCCGCGGUAAUACGGA